GACGAACGCUGGCGGCGUGCUUAACACAUGCAAGUCGAACGAUGAAGCCUAGCUUGCUAGGUGGAUUAGUGGCGAACGGGUGAGUAAUACGUGAGUAACCUACCUUUAACUCUGGGAUAAGCCUGGGAAACUGGGUCUAAUACCGGAUACGACCAAUCUCCGCAUGGGGUGUUGGUGGAAAGCGUUAUGUAGUGGUUAUAGAUGGGCUCACGGCCUAUCAGCUUGUUGGUGAGGUAACGGCUCACCAAGGCGACGACGGGUAGCCGGCCUGAGAGGGUGACCGGCCACACUGGGACUGAGACACGGCCCAGACUCCUACGGGAGGCAGCAGUGGGGAAUAUUGCACAAUGGGCGCAAGCCUGAUGCAGCGACGCCGCGUGAGGGAUGACGGCCUUCGGGUUGUAAACCUCUGUUAGCAGGGAAAGAAGAGAAAUGACGGUACCUGCAGAGAAAGCGCCGGCUAACUACGUGCCAGCAGCCGCGGUAAUACGUANGGCGCGAGCGUUGUCCNGAAUUUAUGGGCGUAAAGAGCUGUAGGCGGUUUGUCGCGUCUGCUGUGAAGGCCGGGGCUUAACCCCGUGUAUUGCAGUGGGUACGGGCAGACUAGAGUGCAGUAGGGGAGACUGGAAUUCCUGGUGUAGCGGUGGAAUGCGCAGAUAUCAGGAGGAACACCGAUGGCGAAGGCAGGUCUCUGGGCUGUAACUGACGCUGAGAAGCGAAAGCAUGGGGAGCGAACAGGAUUAGAUACCCUGGUAGUCCAUGCCGUAAACGUUGGGCACUAGGUGUGGGGGACAUUCCACGUUUUCCGCGCCGUAGCUAACGCAUUAAGUGCCCCGCCUGGGGAGUACGGCCGCAAGGCUAAAACUCAAAGAAAUUGACGGGGGCCCGCACAAGCGGCGGAGCAUGCGGAUUAAUUCGAUGCAACGCGAAGAACCUUACCAAGGCUUGACAUAUACUGGACCGCAUCAGAGAUGGUGUUUCCCUUCGGGGCUGGUAUACAGGUGGUGCAUGGUUGUCGUCAGCUCGUGUCGUGAGAUGUUGGGUUAAGUCCCGCAACGAGCGCAACCCUCGUUCUAUGUUGCCAGCACGUUAUGGUGGGGACUCAUAGGAGACUGCCGGGGUCAACUCGGAGGAAGGUGGGGAUGACGUCAAAUCAUCAUGCCCCUUAUGUCUUGGGCUUCACGCAUGCUACAAUGGCCGGUACAGAGGGUUGCGAUACUGUGAGGUGGAGCUAAUCCCUAAAAGCCGGUCUCAGUUCGGAUUGGGGUCUGCAACUCGACCCCAUGAAGUCGGAGUCGCUAGUAAUCGCAGAUCAGCAACGCUGCGGUGAAUACGUUCCCGGGCCU
rnacentral:rRNA from 1 species